rnacentral:rRNA from 1 species
UACGUAGGGUGCGAGCGUGUCCGGAAUUACUGGGCGUAAAGAGCUCGUAGGUGGUUUGUCGCGUUGUCCGUGAAAACUCACAACUCAAUUGUGGGCGUGCGGGCGAUACGGGCAGACUGGAGUACUGCAGGGGAGACUGGAAUUCCUGGUGUAGCGGUGGAAUGCGCAGAUAUAGGAAGAACACCCGUGGCUAAGGCGGUUCUCUAGUACGGUAACUGACGCUGAGACGCGAAACGUGGGGAGCGAACAGG